rnacentral:rRNA from 1 species
AACGAACGCUGGCGGCGCGCCUAAUACAUGCAAGUCGAGCGAGAAGACGUAGCAAUACGUUUGUAAAGCGGCGAACGGGUGAGGAAUACAUGGGUAACCUACCCUCGAGUGGGGAAUAACUAGCCGAAAGGUUAGCUAAUACCGCGUACGCUCCUUGGACUUCGGUUCAGGGAGGAAAGCGAUACCGUGGGUAUCGCGCUCUUGGAUGGGCUCAUGUCCUAUCAGCUUGUUGGUGAGGAACGGCUCACCAAGGCUUCGACGGGUAGCUGGUCUGAGAGGACGAUCAGCCACACUGGAACUGAGACAUGGUCCAGACUCCUACGGGAGGCAGCAGUGGGGAAUUUUGCGCAAUGGGGGAAACCCGUGACGCAGCGACGCCGCGUGGGUGAUGAAGGCCUCGGUC